AUUUUUUUUUAUUUCUCUCCUUUCUUUCCCCACGUAUACGAGAGGGGGCUUCGGGCCAAUCAGUUCAUUUCUCGCGGCCACGGAUUUAAACUGGCCAGCCCGGGCGACGCCACUGAGAUGAUUGCGCCGCGCAAGGAAUGGCGGGCCCAUUGCACACGGCCCGCAACUACCGCCGCCGCCGCACAGCUGAUCGGGUCCGGAGAUAGCGGCGCCGACCGGUCGGUCGCUCCAUUGUUCGAGCCCAGAAUAAAAGGAGCUCGCCUUAAUUGGAAGAAGGCCGCAUGUGCGAGCAGCUGUCCGCCCGCCGAAGAAAGACUAAAAGCGCUUCCUGAACGCAUAAUUGCUCGCGCGGCUGAUGAGGAAGAUCGUCGACGAGGUGGGCCCGCGGCAAUCGGGAAGAGAGUGCAACGACUGCUGAUUGCCUUCAUGGGAGACACGGGGCUCUUCGAGAGCUGGUGACACGCCCCUUAUCUAAACUCACAGGAGGUUCGGGCGGAACAAUUGCCGACUAUGUAUGCCAGGCGCCCCGCCUGCUGAAAACACCACCGUCACUACCAGGCUAACAUUUAGAGAUUUCCUCCUCCGCGUUCUCCUGACCGAUGGAAGUCACUCUUUGCUCAGCUCGGCGAGUAAGACCUCGAGCUUCGCGGUGUGCUACCUCGUUGAGGUUGACUGCGGGAAUGUCUGGAGUCGUAUGCGCUGGGAACCAGAGCAAUUGCCUGCCGUUCUUCUCUGCAUCGGAGAACUUUGCUUCAUUGACUCUGAUGAUGUGCUGCGUCUGCUCUUUAUUACUGCGUGCGGGCUUGUCACGGCAUGUCAAGUACUCGCGCGCAAGGCCGGCACCGGUACUGCACUUACGCCGGACGUACUUGCACACUGGCGUGCCCACAAGGAAAGAAGACGGCUUCCGUGCUACACGGCGGAAGAGCUGCCAUCUAUACAAACAAGUUGCGCAUGCAGCGUGCAAAACGGCAGCCGCACCAGCCAUCAGGAACUUGCUGUGGGAGUGCUCAGAGUAUGCAGCCCUCCGAAGAAAGCACCGGGGGCAAGUGGCCAGCUUCGAGGAGUGGAUCCGUCCCUCAGCGGAGGCCGACAGUGUUCUGCAAGCGCUGUUCGCAUUUGCUGCGGAAUCGGGCGUCCUCCGCACAGUGCAACCAUGGGGGGAACCAUGGUUGGGAACCAUGGUGCAACCGUGUGGGGGAAGCAUUCCUCGGUGGCUGGCCCGUCCUCAUCUCUCAAUUCCCCAACCCUUAAUAGGCCGAUGAGCCAUCCCUUUCUCAAUGAAGCGGCCCCGUAUCAUUAUAACUUCUGUAGCUGCGCCUAGCUGACCUCUAAAGUGGAGCCGAUAAAAGGCGACACGAGUAACAAAACUUACAUAUUACUGGCUAAAAAAACCACGCAAAGGAGGUGUUGUCUAUUCGUGUGAGGUGUACGUAAGGCAACUUUUAUUUUAUAGUCGUGGAUAAUUACUUUCCAAAGCAAAAAUUCAGGACUUCGACGCAGAUUGCGCUGCUGGUUGAUAGCGAGCCUCGCCAUCCUACGGCAUUCGCCGCUGAAAUCCUCACAACAGCUUUGCUGUAAAAAAAAGAAAACCAAAGCGAAAUAAGGCUUGGGUUGCCUGAAAACUAUAUUUACACGCAACAUGGUCAAUAUCCAUGUUUGAUAUUCAUGUCUGUCUCAUAUGACAACGGUCAAUAUUGAACGCGCUGAUCCAGGACACUUGCGCGACAUGAGUGCGCCCACUUGAACGGUUAAAGUUCGGCCGGAAGCUGCUACGGCAAGCAAAUUCUUUGAACGUGAGAACAACCAAACAAACAAACAAAUCAAAAUAAACAAAUAAAGUAAGAAAAAUAAAGGGGGGGGGGGCGGUGUUGGGUGCGAAAGGGGGGGUUGUUCGAUCUACAAUGCAGCAGUGCCGUAAAUCAUGCUUCAUGGUCGCAAUCCUCUUCGAAUUCUGGUUUGAAAAGCACAUUGCAAUACUCUAGCAAACGCGACGGUCAGAGUGACAUGCCUAGACACGUGAAUCUCAUCUCGGAAAUAAAUUUAUUGUUGAAAGUUA